rnacentral:misc_RNA from 1 species
CCAGUGUUUAUUUUUGACAGCUUGAGCAUAGGUUUUAGGUUCAAAUGUAGUAGAAAUGCUAAGAGUAAAAUGCUGAUGUGACAUAGACAAAUUGUUAUAAGAAAGACAGAUUGUUAUAAGAAAUAACAGAAGAAAGUGGAUAUUUAGUACCUGAGGAAUUGGUUACUAUAGCUGAUUGGGAGAGAUUGCAAUGAUAGUCUUGAACAUAAGAUGGUAAUUUCCUUAGUCUAGUAAAGUGUCUUACACUAGUAGAAGAUGACUGAAUAGGAUAAGUAAAAGUAUGAUGAAGUUCUGAUGCAGGAUACUCAAUAAAGGAUGUAUGAGUAAGAUAUGAAAAAGGACAAAAAGAAAAAGAUGAAGAAGAAAAGGGAAAAACAUUUUUAUGAAAUUGGACAUUUCUAGAUAUAAAGAUUUCUCUAGAAUGAAGAUCCAUUAGAACAUAUCCUUUUGUUACAGACCUAUAUCCCAAAAAAACUAACUUCCUUGCUCUUGGAUCCAAUUUAGAUCUACGAGCAAACAAUGUAGAAGCAAAACAUAAGGAACCAAAGACCUUGAUGUCAUUAUAAUUAGGAAUAGUGUAAUGUAAACUUUGAAAUGGACAUUUAUCUUGAAGAAGGGGAGUGGGAAGUCUGCUGAUGAGAGUGUUGUUAAAGUCGAAGAAAGGUGCCAGAUGAGGGGCCAGGCGAGGCGAGGCGAGGCAAGGCGAGGGGAGGCGAUGGUGACUCGCCUAGCCGAAGCGAAGCAUAUGAGAUGAGUUGACCGCCCCAUACCAAUGAGGUGAGAAGCUCUGGGGCAUUGAGGCACCACCUCUUCAAACUAAUGGCAAAAUUUUUUUUUAUUUUUUCUUAAAAGCAUAAAAUA